GCUGGGUAUGGUGGCUCAUGCUUGUAAUCCCAGGAACUUUGGCAGCUGAGGCAGAAGAAUUGCAAGUACCAGGCCAGCCUCAGCAACUUAGCAAGACCCUGUCUCCU
rnacentral:sRNA from 1 species